rnacentral:rRNA from 1 species
AAAUUGAAGAGUUUGAUCAUGGCUCAGAUUGAACGCUGGCGGCAGGCCUAACACAUGCAAGUCGAACGGUAACAGGAAGCAGCUUGCUGCUUCGCUGACGAGUGGCGGACGGGUGAGUAAUGUCUGGGAAACUGCCUGAUGGAGGGGAUAACUACUGGAAACGGUGGCUAAUACCGCAUAACGUCGCAAGACCAAAGAGGGGGACCUUCGGGCCUCUUGCCAUCAGAUGUGCCCAGAUGGGAUUAGCUUGUUGGUGAGGUAACGGCUCACCAAGGCGACGAUCCCUAGCUGGUCUGAGAGGAUGACCAGCCACACUGGAACUGAGACACGGUCCAGACUCCUACGGGAGGCAGCAGUGGGGAAUAUUGCACAAUGGGCGCAAGCCUGAUGCAGCCAUGCCGCGUGUAUGAAGAAGGCCUUCGGGUUGUAAAGUACUUUCAGCGGGAGGAAGGUGUUGUGGUUAAUAACCGCAGCAAUUGACGUUACCCGCAGAAGAAGCACCGGCUAACUCCGUGCCAGCAGCCGCGGUAAUACGGAGGGUGCAAGCGUUAAUCGGAAUUACUGGGCGUAAAGCGCACGCAGGCGGUCUGUCAAGUCGGAUGUGAAAUCCCCGGGCUCAACCUGGGAACUGCAUUCGAAACUGGCAGGCUUGAGUCUUGUAGAGGGGGGUAGAAUUCCAGGUGUAGCGGUGAAAUGCGUAGAGAUCUGGAGGAAUACCGGUGGCGAAGGCGGCCCCCUGGACAAAGACUGACGCUCAGGUGCGAAAGCGUGGGGAGCAAACAGGAUUAGAUACCCUGGUAGUCCACGCCGUAAACGAUGUCUACUUGGAGGUUGUGCCCUUGAGGCGUGGCUUCCGGAGCUAACGCGUUAAGUAGACCGCCUGGGGAGUACGGCCGCAAGGUUAAAACUCAAAUGAAUUGACGGGGGCCCGCACAAGCGGUGGAGCAUGUGGUUUAAUUCGAUGCAACGCGAAGAACCUUACCUGGUCUUGACAUCCACAGAACUUUCCAGAGAUGGAUUGGUGCCUUCGGGAACUGUGAGACAGGUGCUGCAUGGCUGUCGUCAGCUCGUGUUGUGAAAUGUUGGGUUAAGUCCCGCAACGAGCGCAACCCUUAUCCUUUGUUGCCAGCGGUUAGGCCGGGAACUCAAAGGAGACUGCCAGUGAUAAACUGGAGGAAGGUGGGGAUGACGUCAAGUCAUCAUGGCCCUUACGACCAGGGCUACACACGUGCUACAAUGGCGCAUACAAAGAGAAGCGACCUCGCGAGAGCAAGCGGACCUCAUAAAGUGCGUCGUAGUCCGGAUUGGAGUCUGCAACUCGACUCCAUGAAGUCGGAAUCGCUAGUAAUCGUGGAUCAGAAUGCCACGGUGAAUACGUUCCCGGGCCUUGUACACACCGCCCGUCACACCAUGGGAGUGGGUUGCAAAAGAAGUAGGUAGCUUAACCUUCGGGAGGGCGCUUACCACUUUGUGAUUCAUGACUGGGGUGAAGUCGUAACAAGGUAACCGUAGGGGAACCUGCGGUUGGAUCACCUCCUUACCUUAAAGAAGC